AACUCUUCCUUUAUAAGCUGAUUGCCUAGACGUUAAUACACAUAAAUGUAUGACGUAUUACACAUAAUUAUUUCAAUAUGGCUAUUCUUCCCUGUGCAGUGUUUUCAUCUCCUGAUAUUUCGGAUUCUAUAGAUCUUAUCAGGCAGUUGCUCAAUGUUGAGGAGUUACCUACAAGUGAAGAAGACAAUGGGUACAAGUGGAAUAUAAACAACAAGUACUACACUGCACAAGUACAACUGUAUGCCUUGCCAGAUGCCACCUCUCAAGUUUGUAGGCAAUACCCUGAUUCAGUACAAGCUGUUAUUCUCUAUUUUGAUGCAGAUGAGGAAGAAAGUUUUAAAACAGUGAAGCAUUGGUUGCCAUUCCUCAGUCAAAAUAAACCAGAUAUUCAAAUAAUUGUAUGUAGACACUGUUCCGAUUUCACAGCUGUCCCUCGAAUGACAGUUUUAAAAUGGUGUGUAGAGAAUGCAAUGGAACUAGUGGAAUUGAAACCUGACUUAAAUGAAGAAGAAGACUUCCAAGAGUCAUAUGGAAUAAGCAGAAUAAUACAAGCUCUGCAUGCUCACACAUGGCCAAACCUAGUGAUGAAACAACCUGGAUCACCAUUUUGUAAAACUUUUUUGAAUGAGAUAGUGUCGAAGAAAGGUUCUGAGGUUUCUAACAAAAUCAGUUGUGGUUUAGAAUGUGAUAGAAAAACACAUCGUGAAGAAAUAUCAAAAUUAGAAAAUUCACAGCCUGAAGAAGAUUGUGUGGUUGAUGAUAACAUCGAUAUAGGUGCAGCUAAACAACUGGAUCAAGAAAGUGUUGAAAAUGAAAGCAGAGAGAAACAAACAGAAAAAUUUUUCAAAGAUGAGUCUGAAGAUGCUUCGCUAUAUUUUGAAUCAGUAGAAUCUUUUGAAUCACUCUGUGCAAAGAUAAAACAUCUACAAGUCAAGGGAAAUCUAUUAACACCCAACCAACGGAGAAAAUAUGCAGAAAAGGUCAGAAAUGUGCUGCAAAUAACAUGAAAGCAUGGUCUGUCUUUAUCCAGAGCUUUAACAAAUUGCUUCAUAAUGCCAAGUUUGAUAUGGAGUGGAGGCAACUCUGUCAUUUUGGAGGGCUAUUGGUGGAAAUUCUGAUGAAAUAGAUGACUCAUCAGACACUGAUGUUGAAACAUGAAAUAUUACUACCUAAUAACAUAGAUUUAUAUAUGAAAUUGCAUUUUCAUGCAUUUUACUGUUGUAUAUAAGCUAAAACGUAUCUAUAUAUAGAAAAGUAACAAACAUUUCUAUGUCUAAGAAGUAAAAUUUAAAUUUUAAUAAUUUGGUGUAUAAUCUAGCUGUUUUUUCCUAAUAUUUCAGAGAAAUGCUUACCAUUUAAAUCAAUUACUACUUUAACACAUCUUACCCAUAAAUAACAAAACUUUUUAUUCUUCUGUUAGCUAUCCUCAUAUUCUUGUGUCAUAGUAUGUUUCUUAUUCAUAGGAUAGUGAUUACUUUGCAGGAAAUACACAGCCAUGAAUAUGUUCAAAUGCCACUGAAUUAUCUUCUCCUAUUGUAUAUCUGCAAAAGUAAACAGAAUACCAUGUAUAUCUUGAGUAUAAAAUACAAUACAGGAAGGCCUAACAUUUUCCUCCAAUCUUAAAAUUCAGUCCAAGAUUUUGUAAGGAUUUGAAUAUAUAGUUAUCUAUCUCUUUGGGAAAAAAAACUGUUUUCACCAUAUAAGACAGCAUAUUAUCUGUACGAGAUUAACUAUGUUUGAGUCAAUUGAUUAUUUCCUCAAGACUUCGCAGAGAAAAAGUAAAUAGAAAAAUAAGGAAAAGAAAAUAAGAUAAAAGAAGCUAUUAUUCAUUAUAUCAAGAAAUAUUUUCUUUUAUAACUUUUAUUAUUUUUGCAGCACCAAAAACUACCAAGAGUCUUAGAUAUCUCAGAAACUGGGGGUGGGGGGGAAAUCAUUCUAGGUCAUGGGCUAGAAAGGUUGCCUGAUGGUUUAGCAAGUACAAUUGCUCACAUAUAUUAAAUGUUAAAAGUUUAUCUGAUAUACUGUUGAUUCAUUGAACUGUGUUUUUAUUGACUUGAGCCAGAUGAUUGUUUUAUAGCACUACUUUUAUUUUUUAACAGACUUUUUCUCUUUAUAGCUGUUUAUUUCAUUUAUCAAUAAACAGAUUAGCAUCCAUAAACUAAAGACAGUCUGAAUGACUCUCUCAAAAUAAUAUAGUAAUUUUGAUACUUGUGUAAUAUUAGAAGCAGAAUGAGUGAUAGCAUAAUGACUAGGAUUGGAGGAAGCUGUAAAGCUCAAGGAACUGUUAUUUUUGAGAUAAAUCUUACAAAAAAACUAAGAAGUGAGGUACAGUGUAAGAAUAAAUUAUGAUUAUUGAAAUCAAAGCAUAUGCAGUAAAAGACGAAUACACUUAAAAAGAAGGGUGUUGAAUAUUAACUUACAAGAAAAUUUUGGUGUAAAAUAUGGAGAUUAAAAAUAUUGGCCAGUGUGAGCAAAAAUAAUGAGAAAACAUGCAUAUGAAUAUAAAUGGUCAAUACUAAUUGAAAAGGCACUGUAAAUUGGUGGUGGAAGGUACUUUCAACAGAAAUAAUCCAAAAUUUAUUAAAUUGUGUCAGACCUGCUGAGAUUACACUACUACACUCACCAACUGCAACUACUUGAACCAACAAAAACUCAAGUGAAAUAGCAUCAAAAAUUCUAGGAAGACUAAUCCUUGAUAUCACUAACCCACAUAUCCCUCAUAAACCUAACACAAAAAAAGUCCAUGAUGGCUUUAAUCAUUUAAAAACACUCCUACAUGUACAAUUCUAUUAUCAGCAUUAGCAAAGUUUUCAAAAACAUUCCUUGCUAGUAACUCAUAUGGAAAAUACCACCACUUUAAGAAACAAUGCAGACCACUAGUUAGCAAUUUACCUCCUCUCUAUCCCUACACAUUUCCACACAUCCAUACCACAUAUCCAAAUAACAUCAUAUUCACAUCCUCACACCAUUUUGCAGACUCAGCUCCACAAUAACUUUACAAAAACCACUUAGACACCUUAUUCCACAACAGACUUAAGUAGCAGCCACCAAAUUCACCAUCCUCUUUCUUCACACCCAAUAACACAAAUGUACCACACAUGCAGAAAAUGUGCUGUUUUGUCUCUUAGUAAACACUCUGUUGAUUGCAAUCUCUCAAAGUGAAAUUUUCUCUUUGAGUUGUUUCUUCUAAAUCUUUUUAGCCAGUCACUUUUUAAAAUGUGGCCAUUUUUACUUAAUAUUCAUAGAUUAUUGUCUCAAGAUGAAUUAUGCAUACAAAUCUAGUCUACCUGCUGUAAUGUUUGACAUAUUUCUCACUUUUAAGCAAAAACCAGUUUUAUUAAGUAGGAAUGCAGACAAAUCACAAAUUCCUUCAGGUAGAUAGUCCUGCUUGAUCUCUAGAAAGGGCAUAGGCAGAAACUCAAUAAGAUGUACCCAGUGUAAGCUUUGGACACAUAAGAGGUGCAGCAAUAUCAUAGGAAGGUUAACAGGGAAAAUAGUUUUUGUGUGUGCACAGGUACAAUAAACACUAAAAUGUACAGAAAAUAGACUCCAUCACAUGCCAGGGGAAAACUAGAAGUAGUCAAUAGCUUCCGUUACCUAGGUGACCAAAUCAGUAGCGGGGGUGGAUGCUCUGAGAGCUUGGCUGCUAGAAUAGGAAUAGCCUGGGCUAUUCAGAGAGCUCCUAUCUCUGCUGGUAAUAAAGGGCCUCUCUCUCAGAGUGAAAGGCAGACUGUAUGAUGCCUGUGUGCAAACAGUCAUGUUAGAGAGCAGUGAAACAUGAAAGAAGUGAAGCUAGUAUGCUUUGCUGGAUAUGUAAUGUCAGUGUGAAUGCACAACAGAGUGUAAGCAUCCUGAGAGAAACGUUGAGCUUAAGAAGCAUCAGUUAUGGUGUGCAAAAGACAAGUGUGCUGGUAUGGUCAUGAUACAUAUGGACAAGGACUGCUGUGUGAAGAUGUGCCACACUUUAAACCUGUGGUAGAUCCAGGUAGACAUGGGACAAGGUGUUGAAGCAUGAUUUUUGAAUGUUGGGCCUCAUGGGUGCAAUGACAAGUGACCAAGACCUUUAGCGAUAUGGCCGUGCUUGAGAAGACCCAUCAAACCAAGUGAGAUCAUAGUCAUAACAAUGCUAGUGUUGCAUAACUGGCAUGUAAAAAGUACCCUUCAAACGUUGGGCAAUAUUCUAUGCUGAGAAGACCUGGACAAAGCCAGUGCCAUCUGACACCCAUGCUAGUGCACAUAAAAAACAUCAUUUGAGCAUUGGACCUCACGGAAGCAGUGACAGGUAACUGAGAUCUUUGGCAAUAUACUGUACCAAGUGAAAUCAUAGUCAUGGCUGAUGCAAGUGUCACAUCUAUGACACCUGUGCCGGUGGCACAUAAAAAGCACCCACUACUCUUGGAUUGGUUGGUGUUAGGAAGAGCAUCGAGAUGUAGAAACCUUGCCAAAUCAUAUUGGAACUUGGUGCAGCUACCUGGCUUACCAGUUUUCAGUCAAACCAUCUAAGCUGUGCCAGCAUUGAAAGUGGAUGUUAAACAAUGAUGAUGAUAACCUACCCACCUUCAUAGCUCUAUAUUUGCAUGUGUUUGUGUGUGUGUAUAAAGUAGAUUUAGAGAUAGAAAGUACAGUGUUAUAUAUUUGAAGAAAAUAGGAAUGGCUUUUCUGACAAUUUUUCCACUUUAAUAAUUAGAUGUUUAUAAAGAAUUGGGUAUUUAAUGAUUUAUAAACAUCUAAUUAUCAGAAAAGCCAUUCCUAUUUGUGUAUAUAUAUAUGUAUAUUUUCACAGGCCUUCUACACAUGUACCUCCUUACGACCAUACAUUCAAAUCAGUAAGUGAGAUUCUAUGUAGUUCAUAUACAUACCUUUCUCGCUGAAGCUCUUUAGAAAGUAGCAAUGACUGGCACCUGUUGUGUUGAUUAUAUAUGGUGGCUCAUCAAUGAAUGUUGGAAUAAACAGCGAAUCAAACAUUUAGAGAAAUAUCUUUGACCACAUACAAAAAGGGUGCGAAUUCAUGCAAAACUAUAAUACAAGCACACAAAAAAUGUUAAGUUUACCCAAGUGCAACUAGAAUCCUGUCCCCAACACUUCAUUUUAGAUUCAAAGCUUUAGGGCAGCCACCCUCCAAGUCUGCAUAAGGCAUUCUGUUAGAAGAAACAUGGAUAGAAUUAUUUGACUAACCAUUGGCAAAAUAACUGACAUUAUCUCCUUAUAUGCAGCACAUUCAGGACUAGUAGAUAAACAGACAAGCUUUUUAUGAAGACUUUCUGCAGAUUACUUUGAUAACAGACUUCAUUAUCAUAGCCGGCAAUUUUAAUGGCCAUAUUGAACAACACCAUGAUGCCAUUUCUGGCCUACAUAGCUAUAUGUGUUCAGUACAAAAAAAAUGAGGAGAGAUUACGACUGCGAGAGUUCUGUGAUGCAAAUGAUCUCACUAUCUACAUAUGAACUUCAGCAAAUCAACCAGUCAGGUGAACAAACAAGCUAGAUAGAUUUUACUUUCACCAGAAAGCAGGACUGGCAAAUGACUAAAUGCAGUCUUUCUCAAGUAAAGAAUGUACCUCCCAACAGAAACUACUGAUUACUGGUUUCAAAGUAAGGAUUUCACUGACUCAGAGACAAAAGAUGAUUUGGACACGAAAGACAUGGAACUUGAAAGAUCAUAGAUUCAGAGAGUUAUUAAAUGACACUCUUACCAAGAGGAAAUAGAAACUUAUAACAGAACAAAAUUGGCAGUGUUUAAGGAAUAAUCUGCUGGGAGCUAGAGACUGGUGCUAGGUCCCAACCAAAUAUAGAGUGAUUUGGUGGUAGAGCAAUAUUGUAGACAAUGCCAUAACAGCAAAGAGACAAGCUUGGGAAAAUUGAAAAAGAAGAGGAGGGGCAACAGAAAACAUCUCUUCUGUUUGGCUUUCAAUUUUCAACACCUUUAAUUUUGUUCCAAUUAAUUUCAAAUUUGGUGUACUGAUGUAAGUUUUGUAUGCUAAUUAUGAAAAUAAAAUUCAUUUUUGCUUUAACUUAAUAAAUAAAAACUUAAUAGCUUUCAAAAUUUGGGGUAAUUUUAGCCAAUUGUAAACCAGAGACACAUUGGUGUUUGUUUUAAUAGUAACAAGCCAAGCUGUUACUUGAAUUUACACUAUGAAUAAUGCAUUAAUUGUUUUUGUCAAAUUUGGUAUACUGAUGUAAUUUUUCACACUGAAUCUGAUUCUGUUAUUCAUUUGCUCUAGAAAAAUUGUAAAAAAAUAUUACUGACCCUAAAUUCCACUCAAUCCUAAACCCUAACUCAAACCAUAAACCCCAGACAUACGUUGUUGAAUUUUCACUGAACUACAGUAGUAAUAUACCUUUUUUUUUUUUUUUUUCACAAAAAAAUUUGAUAAUUUCAUUUAUGAUUUUUCCUUUUUAUAUUGCUUAUUCCAACGUUUCACUUGACUUUAUUCAUUUAAAUUUACUAAAACUUCAAGACGUAUAAGUACUUUCGUCAUAAUAUAUUGCUUUCAUUUUCUCUUAUAAAAGUUAUCAUGCAGAAAAUGUCAGUUUCCAAAUCCUGUUUUCUGAUUGGGUUAAAAUCGUCAAACUUUAAGCCUCUGUAACAUAUUCCUAAAAUUUUUCUGGAACAAGUGAAUAACAUCAGUGUAAAAAAUUACAUCAAUAUACCAAAAUUCCAAAAAUGUGAAACCCAAGCAGAAAAGAUAAAAAAGAAACUAUCAGAUACACUUAGCAGAGAGACAAAGAAGUAUGUUCUAUGACAUGAGAAUUGAGAUAGAAAUGUGUAUAGAGUGAAAUGAGUAACACUAGCUCUCAUUGAUAUAGAUAAGAGUGUGUAGUGGAGAGAGAAUCUAUUCCAUAUAAACCCAACAGGGAGUCUAGCUAUCCAAGUAUGGUACUGUAGCAAGUCAUCAAAGGCGGCAAUAUGAUGUAUGGUCGUUUGCCUAAACAAGCAUAAUUGUUGGUAAUCCCAUUGGUUAAAAUUAGGCAUUCUAAACUUUUGUCAAAGAAAUCUUUCAUGAAAUACGGUUCUUAGAAUUCGGACAUGGGCAGUUAUAAAAACCCUGAUUUUUGGGAAAUUACUCAGUGUUUGUAGGAUAUUACUAAACCCCACGGCACUCACAAUAGUGAUCGUUGGAUGUUACUAAACUCCACGACACUCAUUCCUUGAGAUAUUGGCUAUUUUUUUAUGCCAUGUCUAUCACUUAAAUCCAACAAGACAUUUGAAUUCUUGUGAACUCUAGUAGUUAGUAUGAAGGAUUAGCUCGUGUAUAUUUUAAGUCGUAACUCUCUACAACAAAAUGACUUUACUUUCCAAUUGUACUAUAAAUGCUAAAUGUACAUAAAUAAACUAAUGUAGUAAUUA